GAUGAACGCUGGCGGCGUGCUUAACACAUGCAAGUCGAACGAUGAAGCCCAGCUUGCUGGGUGGAUUAGUGGCGAACGGGUGAGUAACACGUGAGUAACCUGCCCUUGACUCUGGGAUAAGCCUGGGAAACUGGGUCUAAUACCGGAUAGGAACGUCCACCGCAUGGUGGGUGUUGGAAAGAUUUAUCGGUCAUGGAUGGACUCGCGGCCUAUCAGCUUGUUGGUGAGGGAAUGGCUCACCAAGGCGACGACGGGUAGCCGGCCUGGGAGGGUGCCCGGCCACCUGAGUACUACGGCAGGCCCAGGACGCGUAGGGAGGGCAGGGGGGGGAAAAAUGACAGAGGGGAGAAGAGCGGGUGACGGCGCGCCCGGGGUAGGAAUGCCGGCUUUCUGGUGAAAAACAUUUUUGUGAGGGAAAAAACAGAAGUUGACGGUACCUAAUGAAGAAGCCCCGGCUAACUACGUG
rnacentral:rRNA from 1 species